GAUGAACGCUGGCGGCGUGCCUAAUACAUGCAAGUCGAGCGAACAGACGAGGAGCUUGCUCCUCUGACGUUAGCGGCGGACGGGUGAGUAACACGUGGAUAACCUACCUAUAAGACUGGGAUAACUUCGGGAAACCGGAGCUAAUACCGGAUAAUAUAUUGAACCGCAUGGUUCAAUAGUGAAAGACGGUUUUGCUGUCACUAAUAGAUGGAUCCGCGCCGGAUUAGCUAGUUGGUAAGGUAACGGCUUACCAAGGCAACGAGGCGUAGCCGACCUGAGAGGGUGGUCGGCCACACUGGAACUGAGACACGGUCCAGACUCCUACGGGAGGCAGCAGUAGGGAAUCUUCCGCAAUGGGCGAAAGCCUGACGGAGCAACGCCGCGUGAGUGAUGAAGGUCUUCGGAUCGUAAAACUCUGUUAUUAGGGAAGAACAAAUGUGUAAGUAACUAUGCACGUCUUGACGGUACCUAAUCAGAAAGCCACGGCUAACUACGUG
rnacentral:rRNA from 1 species